UGGCGGACGGGUGAGUAACACGUGAGCAACCUGGCUCUAAGAGGGGGACAACAGUUGGAAACGACUGCUAAUACCGCAUAACGUAUCGGGAUGGCAUCUUCCUGAUACCAAAGAUUUUAUCGCUUAGAGAUGGGCUCGCGUCUGAUUAGAUAGUUGGCGGGGUAACGGCCCACCAAGUCGACGAUCAGUAGCCGGACUGAGAGGUUGAACGGCCACAUUGGGACCGAGACACGGCCCAGACUCCUACGGGAGGCAGCAUG
rnacentral:rRNA from 1 species